rnacentral:misc_RNA from 1 species
UACGGAAGGUCCGGGCGUUAUCCGGAUUUAUUGGGUUUAAAGGGAGCGUAGGUGGACUGUCAAGUCAGUUGUGAAAUCCGCGGGCUCAACCUGCGGCCUGCAGUUGAAACUGGCGGUCUUGAGUCCGUUCAGGGAUGCUGGAAUUCAUGGUGUAGCGGUGAAAUGCUCAGAUAUCAUGAAGAACUCCAAUCGCGAAGGCAGGCAUCCGGGCCGGAACUGACACUGAGGCUCGAAAGUGCGGGUAUCAAACAGG